UACGUAGGGUGCGAGCGUUAAUCGGAAUUACUGGGCGUAAAGAGUGCGCAGGCGGCAAAGCAAGUCGAGUGUGAAAGCCCCGGGCUUAACUUGGGAAUUGCGGUCGAAACUACUUUGCUGGAGUGUGGCAGAGGAAGGUGGAAUUCCACGUGUAGCGGUGAAAUGCGUAGAGAUGUGGAGGAACACCAAUGGCGAAGGCAGCCUUCUGGGCCAACACUGACGCUCAUGCACGAAAGCGUGGGGGGCAAACAGG
rnacentral:rRNA from 1 species